GCUUCUCUAGCUCAGUUGGUAGAGCAACGCACCCGUAAUGCGUAGGUCGUGGGUUCGAAUCCCAUGGGGAGCU
rnacentral:tRNA from 1 species